rnacentral:rRNA from 1 species
UGCAGUCGAACGAACCUUCGGGUUAGUGGCGGACGGGUGAGUAACGCGUGAGAAUCUGCCCUCAGGAGGGGGAUAACGGUUGGAAACGACCGCUAAUACCCCAUAUGCCUACUGGUGAAAUGAAUUUCGCCUGAGGAUGAGCUCGCGUCUGAUUAGCUAGUUGGUGGGGUAAUGGCUCACCAAGGCUUCGAUCAGUAGCUGGUCUGAGAGGAUGAUCAGCCACACUGGGACUGAGACACGGCCCAGACUCCUACGGGAGGCAGCAGUGGGGAAUUUUCCGCAAUGGGCGAAAGCCUGACGGAGCAACGCCGCGUGAGGGACGAAGGCCUCUGGGCUGUAAACCUCUUUUCUCAAGGAAGAAGAUAUGACGGUACUUGAGGAAUAAGCCACGGCUAAUUCCGUGCCAGCAGCCGCGGUAAUACGGGAGUGGCAAGCGUUAUCCGGAAUUAUUGGGCGUAAAGCGUCCGCAGGCGGCUUUUCAAGUCUGCUGUUAAAGCGUGGAGCUUAACUCCAUCAUGGCAGUGGAAACUGAAAGGCUUGAGUAUGGUAGGGGCAGAGGGAAUUCCCGGUGUAGCGGUGAAAUGCGUAGAUAUCGGGAAGAACACCAGUGGCGAAGGCGCUCUGCUGGGCCAUUACUGACGCUCAUGGACGAAAGCCAGGGGAGCGAAAGGGAUUAGAUACCCCUGUAGUCCUGGCCGUAAACGAUGAACACUAGGUGUCGGGGGAAUCGACCCCUUCGGUGUCGUAGCUAACGCGUUAAGUG